rnacentral:lncRNA from 1 species
GUCAACUUACUAAACCAAAUCUUUGUUUCCCAGAAGAAAGCUAUUUACUAGAAGCAACCAUGGGACUUCAUCAAAAAGGGGACCAAUUGGGUAAGAAAAAGAUGGCUAAAAUAGUCGGCUGAUUCAUAUUUUGAUAUAUCAUUCAUACCACACUAUCUUUGAAGAUAAUUAUGGUUUAUUUGCAGAUAUCUGUAUGCAAUACCAAGAAAGAGUUGCACCACUUUGAUUCAUAUAGACAUUGUAAGUAUACAUAACACCUGGGGUUUUAUACCUUUACAUCUAACUUCUCUAAUGGACUAGGAGAAACAGAGAUGUACAAGUAUAUGAACACAAUCUCACUGCUGCUGGGUCAACAACGAUCCUUCAUUGAUGUUGUUCUUUUGCCUCUGAUGAAAUUUUACCAUUCACUACAGGUUUCAACGAUUUCUUGAGCUUAACCAAUCCUUCAUUUCCAUUUACACCUUGAACAAACAAGGCACACUUGGUUCUUCCACCUACUGUCAUG